ensembl:lncRNA MIR646HG MIR646 host gene
GGCGGUGCUGGGGUGCACCAGGGCAGCAGCUACAGGCCCUGCUGAAAGGGUUGACAAUGAAGACUCUCAGGCCACCGUAACUCAUGGAGAAGCCCUGAGCAUCUGGCCCGCUUGGUAAAUUCUGCUAUGUCUCCUCCAGCCCUGACCAAACUUCAAAUAUGAGGAAAAUAAACAUUGUCAUAUAUCAACCGGCCAGUUCCCAGCAAUUCCUGCCUGCGUGCCCAUGCAAGGGGAGGUCUGGUGCUGCCUCCUGUAGUAACUACCUGUGGAGCCAGCUGAACUCAUUUUCCCCUGAACUUCAGAAAGUGCCAGAAUCACCCCAGAGCACUUGAGUACUUGCCCUGUGAAGACAGCAAGGAAAUGGGAGAGGAUUUGAAGGAUUUGCUUAAGAGCGGCUUUGAAGUCCUCCAACAGGGUGAGAGAGCCAGCUCAGCACAGACCCAGCCUAGAGAAGGAGCAUUUUUCUAGUGGGCUCAUCUUUAAUUUGCAACUAUGGCACAAAGGAAGGAGCAGCUGUGGAGACCAGGGCAUUGGUGAAAUGAAAGCAUAUUGUUUCCCUCCAUCUUCCCCACCCUGGGGAGGCCAGGGUUUCUCCAAGGCAGACACUCUCUAAGUGAAAUCUAUGGAAUUUUGGAAACAAGAUAAAAGACAUACUCGACUGCAAUGCACAUACUCACCGUGGAGCCCGGCACGCAGGGUAAAGACUCGCUGGGUUUGCAUUGCACAUUCUCACUGAGGAGCCCGGCACGCAGGGUUCAGACUCGCUGGUUUUGGGUUGGUGGACUUCAUUUUCUUUCACGCUGCUGCUUGCCCAGUGGGUGUAGA